rnacentral:rRNA from 1 species
AUGCGGGCCCAGAAGGCCGCUCGUGCGUCAUCCCGGAGGCGGACCGCAGAGAUCCGGUGCUGGAGGAGCCCCCUCGGGCUCCUUCGUGCCUGCCGGAGCCGGCAGGGGCUGGCGACAGCGGCGGCGGGGCUGGCCGGGCAGGGGCUGCACGGAACCAGGCUAGGGUUUCCGGGGCACCGACGGCUGGGCCUGUUCCGGUGUUGGGCCAAAGUGACUGGCCCAGCCUGCCAGGGGGUGGGCUGGGAGACCCUGCGUUGGGUCAGCAGGCCUCAGCGCCUAUGGGGCAGGUGGGCUCAGUGUCGCUCUCCACCGUGA